rnacentral:misc_RNA from 1 species
GAGGAGGUUGAGGUCGGUGCGUCGCUGGUGCGUGACGGGGUCGAUCCCCAUGGAGAGCAGCUUCUUGCGGAGGUGCGUGUUCCAGUAGUUCUUGAUCUCGUUGUCGGUGCGGCCGGGGAGCUUGGUGGCGAUGGAGGACCACUUGUUGCCGAGGAGGGAGUGGAGGUGGACGAUGAGGUCUUCCUCGUCGUCGGUGAACCUGCCGCGCUUGAUGUCGGGGCGGAGGUAGUUGGUCCAUCGCAGGCGGCAGCUCUUGCCGCAGCGGUUGAGGCCGGCGAGCUUGGGCAGGCGGCGCCAGCUGCCGUGGCCGUGCUCGUUGAUGUAGUCCACCAGCAGCUUGUCCUCCUCGGGCGUCCACGGACCCUUCUUCACCCCCGCGUCCUGGUCGC